rnacentral:tRNA from 1 species
CCGCCAUUAGCUCAUCAGGAAGAGCAGACGACACGUGUUGGUGCGGGGUUCGAGUCCUCGAUGGCGGUCCA